GGUUCUAUGGCGCAAUUGGUUAGCGCGUCCGGCUGUUAACAGAGCGAGCCUGAUUUCAGCAACAGUUGAUGCUGGAGCUUUGGUGAGUUCAUUAGGGGACCGGGAGGUUGGAAGUUCGAGCCUUCCUAGAACCG